UGGAUCCAGACUUUGAUCAUGGCUCAGGACGAACGCUGGCGGCGCGCCUAACACAUGCAAGUCGAACGAGCGAGAGAGAGCUUGCUUUCUUGAGCGAGUGGCGAACGGGUGAGUAACGCGUGAGGAACCUGCCUCAAAGAGGGGGACAACAGUUGGAAACGACUGCUAAUACCGCAUAAGCCCACGGCUCGGCAUCGAGCAGAGGGAAAAGGAGCAAUCCGCUUUGAGAUGGCCUCGCGUCCGAUUAGCUAGUUGGUGAGGUAAUGGCCCACCAAGGCGACGAUCGGUAGCCGGACUGAGAGGUUGAACGGCCACAUUGGGACUGAGACACGGCCCAGACUCCUACGGGAGGCAGCAGUGGGGAAUAUUGCACAAUGGGGGAAACCCUGAUGCAGCGACGCCGCGUGGAGGAAGAAGGUCUUCGGAUUGUAAACUCCUGUUGUUGAGGAAGAUAAUGACGGUACUCAACAAGGAAGUGACGGCUAACUACGUGCCAGCAGCCGCGGUAAAACGUAGGUCACAAGCGUUGUCCGGAAUUACUGGGUGUAAAGGGAGCGCAGGCGGGAAGACAAGUUGGAAGUGAAAUCCAUGGGCUCAACCCAUGAACUGCUUUCAAAACUGUUUUUCUUGAGUAGUGCAGAGGUAGGUGGAAUUCCCGGUGUAGCGGUGGAAUGCGUAGAUAUCGGGAGGAACACCAGUGGCGAAGGCGGCCUACUGGGCACCAACUGACGCUGAGGCUCGAAAGUGUGGGUAGCAAACAGGAUUAGAUACCCUGGUAGUCCACACUGUAAACGGUGAUUACUAGGUGUUGGAGGAUUGACCCCUUCAGUGCCGCAGUUAACACAAUAAGUAAUCCACCUGGGGAGUACGACCGCAAGGUUGCAACUCAAAGGAAUUGACGGA
rnacentral:rRNA from 1 species